ACUCCUACGGGAGGCAGCAGUGAGGAAUUUUGCGCAAUGGCCGCAAGGCUGACGCAGCAACGCCGCGUGGGUGAUGAAGGCCUUCGGGUCGUAAAGCCCUGUCAGGUGGGAAGAAAGGCCUUGAUAAGAAACGGUUGAGGUUUGACGGUACCACCAGAGGAAGCACCGGCUAACUCCGUGCCAGCAGCCGCGGUAAUACGGAGGGUGCGAACGUUAUUCGGAAUUACUGGGCGUAAAGCGCGUGUAGGCGGGGAUGCAAGUCUGAUGUGAAAGCCCUGGGCUUAACCUGGGAAGUGCAUUGGAAACUGCAUUUCUUGAGUACUGGAGAGGAAGGGGGAAUUCCCGGUGUAGAGGUGAAAUUCGUAGAGAUCGGGAGGAAUACCAGUGGCGUAGGCGCCCUUCUGGACGGUAACUGACGCUGAGACGCGAAAGCGUGGGGAGCAAACAGGAUUAGAUACCCUGGUAGUCCACGCUGUAAACGAUGAUCACUAGGUGUAGCGGGUACUCAUUCCUGCUGUGCCGUAGCUAACGCGUUAAGUGAUCCGCCUGGGGAUUACGGUCGCAAGACUAAAACUCAAAGGAAUUGACGG
rnacentral:rRNA from 1 species